AACGAACGCUGGCGGCAUGCCUAACACAUGCAAGUCGAACGAGACCUUCGGGUCUAGUGGCGCACGGGUGCGUAACGCGUGGGAAUCUGCCCUUGGGUUCGGAAUAACAGUUAGAAAUGACUGCUAAUACCGGAUAAUGUCUUCGGACCAAAGAUUUAUCGCCCAGGGAUGAGCCCGCGUAGGAUUAGCUAGUUGGUGAGGUAAAGGCUCACCAAGGCGACGAUCCUUAGCUGGUCUGAGAGGAUGAUCAGCCACACUGGGACUGAGACACGGCCCAGACUCCUACGGGAGGC
rnacentral:rRNA from 1 species